UUUUGAUUUUAAUUUAAGGUUUAACCUGCUCAAUGAAUAUUUAAAUUGCUGCGGUAUUUUGACCGUGCAAAGGUAGCAUAAUAAUUAGUUUUUUAAUUAAAAGCUUGGAUGAAUGGUUGGACGAGAAAACAGCUGUCUCUUAAUUAUUAGAGUUGAAUUUAAUUUUUUAGUCAAAAAGCUAAGAUUUUAUUAAAAGACGAGAAGACCCUUUAGAGUUUUAUUAAUAAAAAUUAUAAUUAAUUAGGUAUUUUUGAGUGUGGUUGAUGUUAAUUUGGUUGGGGUGACUUUAAGAUAAAAUUAACUCUUUACAAAAAAAAUCAUUGAUUUUUGAAUUAAUAGUCUAAAUUUUUUAAGUUUAAAAUAAAUUACCUAAGGGAUAACAGCGUAAUUCUUUU
rnacentral:rRNA from 1 species